rnacentral:rRNA from 1 species
UACGGAGGGUGCGAGCGUUAAUCGGAAUUACUGGGCGUAAAGGGCUUGUAGGCGGUUUAUUAAGUUAGAUGUGAAAGCCCUGGGCUCAACCUAGGAAUGGCAUUUAAGACUGGUGAGCUAGAGUGCUGUAGAGGGGGGUAGAAUUCCAGGUGUAGCGGUGAAAUGCGUAGAGAUCUGGAGGAAUACCGGUGGCGAAGGCGGCCCCCUGGACAGUGACUGACGCUGAGGAGCGAAAGCGUGGGGAGCAAACAGG